GUAUAACUGUGAGUUCUCCUCAAGCACUUCACGUGGCACGAUUUAAAUGCCUACCGUGAAGUGCUUGGGGAACUUUUGGUGUUAC
rnacentral:pre_miRNA from 1 species